ACACUUCCUCCAGCAGCUGGUUCGCCCCGUCCGCCAGGCGGGGUGUCGCAAGAGGGAACCCGGUGGGAAUCCGGGACUGCCCCGCAGCGGUGAGCGGGAACGACCGCCGUCAUACGCACUGGGUCCGGGUACGGGCCUGGGAAGCGACGGCCAGUAGGUGCCCUCCUUCAGGAAGGCGCGCCCGCGAGUCCGAAGACCUGCCAGCCGCCCGGACGCGUG
rnacentral:ncRNA from 2 species